rnacentral:tRNA from 1 species
GUGACCAUAGCUCAAUGGUAGAGCAUCAGAUUGUGGAUCUGAGGGCUGCGGGUUCAAAUCCCGUUGGUCACC